UACGAAGGGUGCGAGCGUUGUCCGGAAUCACUGGGCGUAAAGGGCGCGUAGGCGGCCUGAUAAGUAGGGGGUGAAAUCCUGCGGCUUAACCGCAGGGCUGCCUUCUAAACUGUCAGGCUUGAGCACAGUAGAGGCAGGUGGAAUUCCCGGUGUAGCGGUGGAAUGCGUAGAGAUGUGGAGGAACACCUGCGGCGAAGGCGGGUUGCUGGGCUGAUACUGACGCUGAGGCGCGAAAGCCAGGGGAGCGAACGGG
rnacentral:rRNA from 1 species